UACGUAGGCAGCAAGCGUUGUUCGGAAUUACUGGGCGUAAAGAGUGUGUAGGCGGUGCUCUAAGUCUGUUGUGAAAUCUCCCGGCUUAACCGGGAGGGUGCGGCGGAAACUGGAGUGCUUGAGGGUGGGAGAGGUAAGCGGAAUUCCUGGUGUAGCGGUGAAAUGCGUAGAUAUCAGGAGGACCACCUGUGGUGUAGACAGCUUACUGGACCACUUCUGACGCUGAGACACGAAAGCGUGGGUAGCAAACAGG
rnacentral:rRNA from 1 species